CGAGCUCGGAUCCACUAGUAACGGCCGCCAGUGUGCUGGAAUUCGGCUUUAAUCCGACCUAGGCUCAUCCAUUAGCGCGAGGUCUUGCGAUCCCCCGCUUUCCUCCGUAGAGCGUAUGCGGUAUUAGCCCGGCUUUCGCCGGGUUAUCCCCCACAAAUGGGCAGAUUCCUACGUAUUACUCACCCGUCCGCCGCUGAAUUCAGGAGCAAGCUCCUGUCAUCCGCUCGACUUGCAUGUGUUAGGCCUGCCGCCAGCGUUCAAUCUGAGCCAGGAUCAAACUCUAAGCCGAAUUCUGCAGAUAUCCAUCACACUGGCGGCCGCUCGAGCA
rnacentral:rRNA from 1 species